rnacentral:rRNA from 1 species
AGAGUUUGAUCAUGGCUCAGAGCGAACGCUGGCGGCGUGCCUAACACAUGCAAGUCGAACGUGAAAGGGAGCAAUCCUGAGUAAAGUGGCGUACGGGUGAGUAACGCGUAGGUAAUCUAACCUAAAGCCUGGAAUAACCGGCCGAAAGGCUGGCUAAUACUGGAUAGAGCGAGGAAUUCGUAAAUGGAUUUUUCGGGAAA